rnacentral:misc_RNA from 1 species
GCGAUAAGUAAUGUGAAUUGCAGAAUUCCGUGAAUCAUCGAAUCUUUGAACGCACAUUGCGCCCCCUGGCAUUCCGGGGGGCAUGCCUGUCCGAGCGUCAUUUCUGCCCUCAAGCACGGCUUGUGUGUUGGGUGUGGUCCCCCCGGGGACCUGCCCGAAAGGCAGCGGCGACGUCCGUCUGGUCCUCGAGCGUAUGGGGCUCUGUCACUCGCUCGGGAAGGACCUGCGGGGGUUGGUCACCACCAUAUUUCACCACGGUUGACCUCGGAUCAGGUAGGAGUUACCCGCUGAACUUAAGC